rnacentral:rRNA from 1 species
UGGGGAAUUUUGGACAAUGGGCGAAAGCCUGAUCCAGCAAUGCCGCGUGUGUGAAGAAGGCCUUCGGGUUGUAAAGCACUUUUGUCCGGAAAGAAAUCCUCUGGGUUAAUACCUCGGGGGGAUGACGGUACCGGAAGAAUAAGCACCGGCUAACUACGUGCCAGCAGCCGCGGUAAUACGUAGGGUGCAAGCGUUAAUCGGAAUUACUGGGCGUAAAGCGUGCGCAGGCGGUUUUGUAAGACGGAUGUGAAAUCCCCGGGCUUAACCUGGGAACUGCAUUCGUGACUGCAAGGUUAGAGUAUGGCAGAGGGGGGUAGAAUUCCACGUGUAGGCAGUGAAAUGCGUAGAGAUGUGGAGGAAUACCGAUGGCGAAGGCAGCCCCCUGGGCCAAUACUGACGCUCAUGCACGAAAGCGUGGGGAGCAAACAGGAUUAGAUACCCUGGUAGUCCACGCCCUGAAACGAUGNCAACUAGUUGUUAGGGGG